GAAGUGGUUGUUUGUUUCAGAGGAGAUGGGUUGACAGUUUCCCCUCUUUCAAGCUUAUCGGACUGCUAUCCCGUCGCCUUUUGACUUCCAUUUUCUCUGUUUCAUUUAGGGAGAAACUAAUCAGAGCCAUGAAACCACGCCUGGACCGGCUCACUGGGUGAGAGGAAAGUCGUCCCUAGAGACGAGCGAUGUGCUGGCAAAUUUUCAAUUCCUGGCAUUCUGGCGGACAGGAGGAAGGAAGUCCUGACUUGUAGCAGUUGCCAAUUUCUGUGGCACAAAUUGUGCUACCACCUCUGCUCUCCAGCUGCCAACGUGACAUCGCU
rnacentral:lncRNA from 1 species